rnacentral:misc_RNA from 1 species
GGAAAGGAAAACGAAACAAGGAAUGUUGAAAAAUGGGCUGGGCUUAUUAUUUUAAACACAUGUAGACGACGGUGGCAAAGGAGAAGGCCCACAGUUAACUUCAAUUUCAUUUAUCUCAGUUUUUUCUGUUAUAACCGAAUUAAAAACCAAACCGAACUGAAAACUGAUAUUCUUAAAAAUAGAUAACCAAACCAAAUCAAUUGA